UGGGGAAUAUUGGACAAUGGGGGGAACCCUGAUCCAGCCAUGCCGCGUGUGUGAAGAAGGCCUUAUGGUUGUAAAGCACUUUAAGCGAGGAGGAGGGUACUGGUAUUAAUACUACCAGGUACUGGACGUUACUCGCAGAAUAAGCACCGGCUAACUCUGUGCCAGCAGCCGCGGUAAUACAGAGGGUGCGAGCGUUAAUCGGAUUUACUGGGCGUAAAGCGUGCGUAGGCGGCUAAUUGAGUCGGAUGUGAAAUCCCCGAGCUUAACUUGGGAAUUGCAUUCGAGACUGGUUAGCUAGAGUGUGGGAGAGGAUGGUAGAAUUCCAGGUGUAGCGGUGAAAUGCGUAGAGAUCUGGAGGAAUACCGAUGGCGAAGGCAGCCAUCUGGCCUAACACUGACGCUGAGGUACGAAAGCAUGGGGAGCAAACAGG
rnacentral:rRNA from 1 species